AUGUAUAUAUUUAUUUCCAACAUUUAUAUCCCGCCCUUCUCACCCGAAGGGACUCAGGGUGGUGUACACAAUUGGCAACAAUUCGAUGCCUACACAUAAUUAAAACAUAGCAAUGAAAAUCCAAUUAAAACAAUUAAAACAAUAUAAAAAUAUAAAACAUAUGGUUAAAAAUCCGUUCAUCCAAAAUCCUCGUGCUGUAGCUGUAAAUCAGUCCGGGUCGUCUUGAUUGUUUAAUCUUCGAAAACGUGGGCACAUAGCCAAGUUUUCAGGGCUUUUCUAAAACUCAAAAGGGUUGGGACUUGUCAUAUAUCUGCUAAAUGGGUUCUUUUAUCAAGACUCAUAGAAUCCUAGAGUUGGAAGAGACCUCGUGGGCCAUCCAAUCCCACCCUUUGCCAAGAAGCAGGAAAAUCCAGACCUCCCUCUCUAUAAAAGUUAUUUACCAUUAUUAGCUGUGUUUAUAUUUUGCAUAGAGAUGGUUUUUAUGGACCGAUAGGGCACUGACCAGUAUUGGAACUGAUGGGUUUUGUUGUGUUACGUUUUGGCACCCAGUUGCAAAGCUGGUUGAGAAGAACAACCACACGGAAGGCAUCAAGCAGAAGCACAGAGAAUUCCUGGACUCUUGGAACCCGAUGGUCUUCCUCAAAAACCCCUCCAGAGUUGCGGAGGUGUCUGACAUUGUGGAUGGGAUCUGCAGCCGCUUGGACCUGAUCCGCCGUCCCAGCGCCAGGCGGUUGGUGAUGAAGCUGGUGGGCCUCUUGGCCGGGAGGAGGGAGCACCUGGACACCGUGAUUUCCAGCCUCUUGCAGCAUUCCUUCCCCACAGACAGCAAUUUGUCUGAACUGUGGCAAUCACUCUCGACAGAGGAAGUGGUGGAAGAGCAGCUGAUGGCCAACCUUCUCAGACGUUUGGAGACCCACCACUGCGCAGAGACCCAGACUUCGCCCGUGUCCAUUGCGGUGAGUUCGGCCUCCUCCAUGGAAAGCUAUUAUUAA
rnacentral:lncRNA from 1 species